CUUGACUCAUUUGAGACCGUGAAAAAACAUACAGCGGUAAUUUUUAAACAUAGGUAAACUACUGAGGGUUUAGCAAGUUAAUUUGCCCAUACGGAAAGCAGCCACACUCUCCAAAGGUGUGUAAGUGCACCUAGGUCAGACAGACAGCAUUCCAGUAAAAUGGGUGGUUUAACGUUUAACUUUUUAAUGAAGAAAAAUGUGACAUUUCAAAAGUCCAAUCUCUUCCACAUGCCUUUGUUUUCAUUUUAAAUUACACAUUUAUUUUCUUUGGACAGAGUUUUUUUCCAUGCAAGUUAGAGAUGAGAACGCCUUACCCUAACCUCCAUGGAUGGGCCACCUUGAGAAGCCCUGAGAGAGAAAGGCAACUUAGGCAGCAAGAAGAAGGACCCUUCCUAAAGCACAUAAUCAUGCCAGGCAGUUUUGAGGUACACGUAUUGAUCAUGCAGCAG
ensembl:lncRNA